CUCCGCCCCAGGGCUCCGGGCUCCCCGCGUUCUAACUGCGCCCCCUCGUGUGGCUACAGGAACCCGGACAACGACAUCCGCCCGUGGUGCUUCGUGCUGAACGGCGACCGGCUGAGCUGGGAGUACUGCGACCUGGCACAGUGCCAGACCCCAACCCAGGCGGCGCCUCCGACCCCGGUGUCCCCUAGGCUUCAUGUCCUACUCACGCCCCCGCAGCCGGCAGCGCCGAAGCCUCAGCCCACGACCCGGACCCCGCCUCAGUCCCAGACCCCGGGAGCCUUGCCGGCGAAGCGGGAGCAGCCGCCUUCCCUGACCAGGAACGGCCCACUGAGCUGCGGGCAGCGGCUCCGCAAGAGUCUGUCUUCGAUGACCCGCGUCGUUGGCGGGCUGGUGGCGCUGCGCGGUGCGCACCCCUACAUCGCCGCGCUGUACUGGGGCCACAGUUUCUGCGCCGGCAGCCUCAUCGCCCCCUGCUGGGUGCUGACGGCCGCUCACUGCCUGCAGGACCGGCGAGUACCCGCCCGCCCAGAGCCGCCCCAGGGGCCGCGGCUCCUCCGUCUCCCAGCGCGGCUUCCACGCUGCACCCGAACCCGUGCCCUACCUUCUCCCGCCCCACCCUUCUUUCCACGCCCCUCCGGAGCUCCCGGGGAGGAAGCUGGAACACGGGAUGGGGUUCGGGAGCAGGGGGCUUCCCCAGAACGCUUGUGGCCAGGUCUGAGAGCGCUGCCUCUCCCCUACCCCCACCCCCCGCAGGCCCGCACCCGAGGAUCUGACGGUGGUGCUCGGCCAGGAACGCCAUAACCACAGCUGUGAGCAGUGCCAGACGUUGGCCGUGCGCUCCUACCGCUUGCACGAGGCCUUCUCGCCCGUCAGCUACCAGCACGACCUGGCUCUGUUGCGCCUUCAGGAGGAUGCGGACGGCAGCUGCGCGCUCCUGUCGCCUUACGUUCAGCCGGUGUGCCUGCCAAGCGGCGCCGCGCGACCCUCUGAGACCGCGCUCUGCCAGGUGGCCGGCUGGGGCCACCAGUUCGAGGGGGCGGAGGAAUAUGCCAGCUUCCUGCAGGAGGCGCAGGUACCCUUCCUCCCCCUGGAGCGCUGCUCAGCCCCGGACGUGCACGGAGCCUCCAUCCUCCCCGGCAUGCUCUGCGCAGGGUUCCUUGAGGGCGGCACCGAUGCGUGCCAGGGUGAUUCCGGAGGCCCGCUGGUAUGUGAGGACCAAGCCGCAGAGCGCCGGCUCACCCUGCAAGGCAUCAUCAGCUGGGGAUCGGGCUGUGGUGACCGCAACAAGCCAGGCGUCUACACCGAUGUGGCCUACUACCUGGCCUGGAUCCGGGAGCACACCGUUUCCUGAUUGCUCCGGGACUCAUCUUUCCCUCCUUGGUGAUUCCGCAGUGAGAGAGUGGCUGGGGCAUGGAAGGCAAGAUUGUGUCCCAUUCCCCCAGUGCGGCCAGCUCCGCGCCACGAUGGCGCAGGAACUCAAUAA
rnacentral:sRNA from 1 species